rnacentral:rRNA from 1 species
AGACGUCUACAUUAGAUACCCGUGUAGUCCCAGCCGUAAACUAUGCGCGUUAGGUGUAUCGGUGACCACGAGUUACCGAGGUGCCGAAGGGAAACCGUGAAACGUGCCACCUGGGAAGUACGGCCGCAAGGCUGAAACUUAAAGGAAUUGGCGGGGAGCACCACAACGGGUGGAGCCUGCGGUUAAUUGGACUCAACGCCGGGAAGCUCACCGGAUAAGACAGCGGAAUGAUUGCCGGGCUGAAGACUCUGCAUGACUAGCUG